AUUGAACGCUGGCGGCAGGCUUACCACAUGCAAGUCGAGCGCGCGGCGGGCGGGUGAGUAAUGUCUGGAAAACUCCCUGAUGGAGGGGUAUAACUACUGGAAACGGUAGCUAAUCCCACCUACCCUCAUAUGUUCCCAUAUGUGAUUGGCUCGUAGGUGGGGUAAUGGCUCACAUAGGCGACGAUCCCUAGCGGGUCUUAGAGGAUGACAAGCCACAAUGGAACUGAGACACGGUCCAGACUCCUAUGGUAGGCAGCAGUGGGGAAUAUGGCAAAAUGGGCGCAAGCCUGAUGCAGCCCUGCCGAGUGUGUGAAGAAGGCCUGCGGUUUGUAAAGCACUUUCAGCGAGGAGGCGUUACUCGCAGAAGAAGCACCGGCUAACUCCGUGCCAGCAGCCGCGGUAAUUC
rnacentral:rRNA from 1 species